UCACAACAACAAGCUUUUAUCUCCUUCUAAGUUGAUCAUUCUGCAUUGGAAAACUAUGAGGAAUUCAUUGCAUAACUAUGAGGCAUUAACUCGAAAUUAAUCGAAAGAAACGAGUUUUAAAACUUUCACUUGAUGUUGGAUCAAUGGUCUUAAUACAUAGAAAAUAUUAAUUUUAUUUAUCAUAUAUUUAUUUAAUUAAUUAAAAUAAUUAAGAAAAUAAAUGAAAUGCUAAAAGAAAUUAAAUAAAAUCAAAGGGGGGAGGAGGGAUAAAGCAUCGGGGAUUAUACAACAAUCAAAUAAUGGUCCAAGGCCCAAAGUAAAUAAUAAAAAAACUUUAACAAAAAGAAACUGGGGGUGCUGGUAGAAACUAGGCCCAGGGAGGCCCUAUAAUAAUCAAAUAUAAAAACAAAAUAAAAAGGAAAAUUGAGGCCCAACCAAGGCCCAAUGUUGAUCAAUGCUAGAGGGAGGGGGUCAACAUAGUUGACUCAUACGUCAACCUCAUGAUCUUAUUACCACAAAAUUUGAUGCUUGAAAGGUGAGAGUACAUUGGUGUCACCAAGGGCCGUCCAUACACUGGUGUGGUCAGCAAGGGGAAAGUCAAUGAUCUGAAUCUCAAGGGUAAGCCACAUGUGACCACACGUGUCACCAAGGGAGACAAUCAGAGAGAGAAAUACUCAAGGGGGAGGUCAGGCGUGGAAUCAUUUUUCAUAUGAUCCUCUCUCUCUUCACUCUCGCUAACUCUCGUAUCUCUCAUACUCUCUACAUUAGCCCUCACAUAAACAAUUUAAACAACAACAAAAAAGCAACCAGGUGAAUCAUUCACGGUGGUUGUGAUGAACACCACGAUGGUGUUCAUCCACCACAACCCAGAAUUUCGAAAACCCAACCAAAAUAAAAAAGACUUCAAUACAGACCCUAGGUGAAGUUUAUCCCUAAACAUGAUUCUAACAUCUAUUUGGUCAAACAAAUAAACAAAUCCCCAGAUCUAACCAGUUCCCAAUCUGAAAGCCUAAGAAUGGAAACUCCAAAUCAAUUAUGAAAACCAUACAAAUCAUGUAAUUAAGCGCAUAAUAAGUAGAAAGCAAUAACAAAUGUGAGGAACACGCAAAAAUAAGGGAGAUAAAGGCCUUGCCGGAGCUUUGAAAAUCCGGUGAGGUUUCCGGCUAACCUCAACGUACGAUACUCUGAGUUCUUUCUCCUUGUCUGCUUACUCUUUAAAUUCCUCUUUUACUCCUUUUGUCUAUUCCUCCUAUAUGUGUUGUAUAAGUGUCUCCGGUGAAGGUGAGAGCAGUUAAAUGAGGCUUGUGAGCUCAACUCGUUUCAAACAUCAGUUAGAAGUUUAGGGAGUUUUGGAUGAAGAGUUUUAGUAAGGGCGUUAGUAUGGAAUUGGGCAGAGAUUUGGCAUUUUUUCAUGUGUUUUUGAGUGAUCAAUAGGCUCCUUUUUAAAGGUGAAAUAAGGAGUGGAUUACAAGAAAAGAGGGGAGAAAGUGGUGAGCAAUGUGAUUUUUUGGGGGAGAAUUCCUUAGGAAUUUGUGUGAACAGAUUAGAGGGAAAACUGAGAUUCAUUUGAGAUGAAAAGUUUGUUGAGUUUUUGUGUUAGUUUGAUGCAUGUUGAUAAACUUUGAUGGUAUGGAGUAUGUUGAGAUGGUUCACGCGUAUCUUCUUGUGUAAUUUGUUAAUUUGAUUUUCUUUACUUGUUUUAAUUCAAUUAAAGUUGAUGUAGAUGUAUGUCACAUGUUAAUGAUGGAUGAUAUCAUUAGUUUCAUGUUGAAUGAUAUGGUGCGUUGGUACGAUGUUGGCUGCACAUGUUUGCUGCUCUUUUUGUUCUCUUUUUUUCAAAUUUGACUUAAUGAUGAUAUAAGGUUAGUGACAUUUGUUAUGCUGAUAUGUGUGUGUAUGUUGAGUGGUGUUGGCUUGGUAGGUUGCUAUGGGCUGAUGUUAUGGUAUGUCAAUGUUGAAAACUCACAUGUCCUUGUUCUCAUUUGGUCGCUCAGUCUUGCAUGGGAUAUGUGUUAAGUGAUGAUGGUGAUGAUGAAUGGCGUGAAGAUGAUGAAGAGGAAGCCUUGUGUGGUGUGAUGCGCAAAGGUGAUGUUGAUGAGUUAUAUGAGUAAAAAUGUGGGACCACAACCAAUUGGGCUUAGCUUUUUGGUAUUUCAGUUUUUUACUUUUUGUAUUCUAAAAGGUAGGAGAAAGGUAGGUUUUAGAGAAAUCAUCAGACAUACCUAGAAAAUAGGCAAAAAUGAGAGAAAGAGAAAAAGCUAGGAAUUUGAAGAGGGAACUCAUAGAAGAUGUCCAAUUCAACAUCAAUUUAUGGAGAUCUAAGGUAAGGGGGAGAAUAACUUUAAAUAAGAGAUUAUGCCUUAGGGGUAGGGUAGAGGAGUCCUUAACUUCCAAUAAGGAAGAUAAUUUUGAUGAUUUCUAUGUGUGUUCUUGAGGAAUAAUAUCCUCCUGAUUAUAUUGGUAUGAAUUCGUAUGAAUUGAUGUCUAAAAUUCUGCAAUGUAUGUAUGUCUGUUUUCCACCAUUGUUGAAAUGUUGAAUGUUUUAGUGAUGUGAAUUGAUGAAUUGGUGAUUGAAUUGAUAUGUUAA
rnacentral:lncRNA from 1 species